UCCAGCCAUGCCGCGUGUGUGAUGAAGGCCUUAGGGUUGUAAAGCACUUUCAACGGUGAUGAUGAUGACGGUAGCCGUAAAAGAAACCCCGGCUAACUUCGUGCCAGCAGCCGCGGUAAUACGAAGGGGGCGAGCGUUGUUCGGAAUUACUGGGCGUAAAGGGCGCGCAGGCGGCCUAUCCAGUCAGGUGUGAAAGCCCCGAGCUCAACUUGGGAACUGCACUUGAUACUGAUAGGCUAGAAAACGGAAGAGGGCAGUGGAAUUCCCAGUGUAGAGGUGAAAUUCGUAGAUAUUGGGAAGAACACCAGUGGCGAAAGCGGCUGCCUGGUCCGAUUUUGACGCUGAGGCGCGAAAGCGUGGGUAGCAAACAGGAUUAGAUACCCUGGUAGUCCACGCCGUAAACGAUGUAUGCUAGUUGUUGGGGGGAUGCCCCUCAGUGACGCCGCUAACGCA
rnacentral:rRNA from 1 species